UUUUGCUUGUCGCCUGGAGGCAUUGUGACAAGGUGGUGGUGCCCUCUUUUUUGACACCCCCUCUCUCUGGGCCUCUGCGACAUCACGCUUUUCCUUUUCUUCCUACCUUGGUGGCCAGCCACUUGCUCCUUUCACAUUUUUUCCACUGGCUCUGCCUCCUCCUGCCAGCCUCUAAAUCUUGGAGUUCCUCGGGACUAGUCCUCAUCCUUCUCCUGACACUCACUGCCAUGUGAGCUCCUAAUCAAACAGCAUCUCUGUGAAGAUGGCUCAAAGUCUCAUCUCCACCCAAGACUGUCCUCCCAGCUCCAGCCUGUGCAUGCUGCUGCCCACUGCAUGGCCCUGGGGAGGUGGAAUGGGCAGGUCACAAGACUCUGAAGAAGACUAGAAUCACAGUGGCAUGAUGCAGAGAUAAGAAAUAAAGAGGAGGAUGGGAAAGAGAGGAGAUGUCUACCCCACUCUCCUGUCCUGUACUGCCAGCCUCAGCAGCCCAGGCCAGGGCGAGAACGGAGAGAAAUGAAGAUCAGCAUUGUUGCCGUUAGACCAGAGAGGCCAUCUUAACUACCUAGGGGAGACUUUGUAGCCAGAAGACUUUACCUUCUGAAAAGCCCAGGACAGGAGGAAACUACCCCAAACAGAACAUGCUUAGGUGGCUGGUGAAGGAAACCUGAGUGGCUUUGCGAUCCUUUGUUGAAAUAUUGUCUAGCUGGGCAUCCUGCUGUUGACGUCAUCUAUGAUACCCUCAGGGUGGCGGCCAUCAACAUUGCAGCCUACAGUCUGGCCAGCCCCCAUGAUCUCUUGAAGAAUUCCAGAAAGUUCUCUAGCUAAAGGCAGAGCCACAUCUGUUGGGCAAGUUUGAUAAUGUCAUCCCAAUUGAUAUUACCACUGUGUUUAA